UUUCAACGGAGAGUUUGAUCCUGGCUCAGGACGAACGCUGGCGGCGUGCUUAACACAUGCAAGUCGAGCGGUAAGGCCCCUUCGGGGGUACACGAGCGG
rnacentral:rRNA from 2 species